UACAGAGGUCUCAAGCGUUGUUCGGAUUCAUUGGGCGUAAAGGGUGCGUAGGUGGUUUCUUAAGUCAGAGGUGAAAGGCUACGGCUCAACCGUAGUAAGCCUUUGAAACUGGGAAACUUGAGUGCAGGAGAGGAGAGUGGAAUUACUAGUGUAGCGGUGAAAUGCGCAGAUAUCAGGAAGAACACCAAUGGCGAAGGCAGCUCUCUGGGACGGUACUGACACUGAGACGCGAAAGCGUGGGGAGCGAACAGG
rnacentral:rRNA from 1 species